CAGUCACUACCACACCUUCGGUG
rnacentral:miRNA from 15 species